rnacentral:rRNA from 1 species
CCCCGGCGCUGCAAGUGGCGAUCAGCAUUACUGGGCCUAAAGCGUUCGUAGCCGGUUUUGUAAAUUCUUUGUGAAAUCGUCAGGCUUAACCUGACGGCGUGCAGAGGAGACUGCAUUACUUGAGAUCGGGAGGCGUUAGAGGUAUUUUGGAGGGAGCGGUAAAAUGCUAUAAUCUCUAAAAGACCACCUGUGGCGAAGGCGUCUAACGAGAACGAUUCUGACGGUGAGGAACGAAGGCCAGGGGAGCAAAAGGGAUUAGAUACCCCUGUAGUCCUGGCAGUAAACUCUGUGGGUUAGGUGUGGGCUGUCCUUCGAGGACAUCCCGCAUCGUAGCGAAGGCGUUAAACCCACCGCCUGGGGAGUACGGUCGCAAGGCUGAAACUUAAAGGAAUUGGCGGGGGAGCACCACAAGGGGUGCGGCGUGCGGUUUAAUUGGAUUCAACGCCGAACAUCUCACCAGGAGCGACAGCAGAAUGAAGGUCAAGCUGAAGACUUUACCAGACACGCU